UACGUAGGGGGCUAGCGUUGUCCGGAAUCAUUGGGCGUAAAGCGCGUGUAGGCGGUCCGGUAAGUCCGCUGUGAAAGUCGGGGGCUCAACCCUCGGAUGCCGGUGGAUACUGUCGGGCUUGAGUACGGAAGAGGCGAGUGGAAUUCCUGGUGUAGCGGUGAAAUGCGCAGAUAUCAGGAGGAACACCAAUUGCGAAGGCAGCUCGCUGGGACGUUACUGACGCUGAGACGCGAAAGCGUGGGAGCAAACGGG
rnacentral:rRNA from 1 species